GACGAACGCUGGCGGCGUGCUUAACACAUGCAAGUCGAACGGAAAGGCCUGCUUUCCCUUGUGGAUUGCGGGUACUCGAGUGGCGAACGGGUGAGUGACACGUGAGUGAUCUGCCCCCAACUUGGGUAUAAGCCUGGGAAACUGGGUCUAAUUCCCGAUAGGACUGCAGGGUGGUGCCUGUGGUGGAAAACGAUUUUCUAGUGGUUGGGGAUGAGCUCGCGGCCUAUCAGCUUGUUGGUGGGGUAAUGGCCUACCAAGGCGGCGACGGGUAGCCGGCCUGGGAGGGUGGACGGCCACAGUGGGACUGAGAUACGGCCCAGACGACUACGGGAGGCAGCAGUGGGGAAUAUUGCACAAUGGGCGGAAGCCUGAUGCAGCGACGCCGCGUGGGGGAUGACGGCCUUCGGGUUGUGAACUCCUUUCGACCGCGAGGAAGCCACCUGGUUGGAAGGGUGGUGACGGUAGUGGUAGAAGAAGCACCGGCUAACUACGUG
rnacentral:rRNA from 1 species